rnacentral:lncRNA from 1 species
CUAUGGUGGGAAGUAGAUAACAAUGUAUCAGACCCCUUGACUUUUUCCACAUUUGUGAAGUUACAGCUAUUCUAAAAUGGAUUAAAUAAAUAAAUAAAAGGAGAUUUGUUGGCAGUGAGCACAGCAGCAGGACGGUGUGGAAGAGGAAGGCAGCAGGACGGUGUGGAGAGAGGCAGCAUGACGGUGUGGAGAGGAAGGCAGCAUGACGGUGUGGAGAGGAAGCAGAUGACGGUGUGAGAGGAAGGCAGCAUGGAGAGGAAGGCAAAGGACGGUUGGUGGAGAGGAAGGCAGCAGGACGUGUGGAGAGGAAGGCAGCAUGACGGUGUGGAGAGGAAGGCAGCAGGACGGUGUGGAGAGGAAGGCAGCAGGACGGUGUGGAGAGGAAGCAGCAAGGACGGUGUGGAGAGAAAGGCAGCAGGACGGUGUGUGGAGAGGAAAGGAAGCAUGGAGAGGAAGGCAGCAUGACGGUGUGGAGAGGAAGGCAGCAUGGAGAGCAAGGCAGCAGGACGGUGUGGCGAGGAAGGCAGCAUGGAGAGGAAGGCAGCAGCACGGUGUGGCGAGGAAGGCAGCAGGACGGUGUGGAGAGGAAGGCAGCAGGACGGUGUGGAGAGGAAGGCAGCAUGGAGAGGAAGGCAGCAUGAGGUUGGAGAGGAAGGAGCAUGACGGUGUGGAGAGAAAGGCAGCAGGACGGUGUGGAAGAGAAGGCAGCAUGGGAGAAGGACAGCAUGGAGGAAGGCGCAGACGGUGUGGAGAGGAAGGCAGCAGGACGGUGGGGAGAGGAAGGCAGCAUGGAGAGGAAGGCAGCAUGGGAGAGGAAGAGCUACAGAGACGGUGUGGAAGGAGGCAGGGAGGGA